GGAACUAAUUUCCAAAAGAGGAAAGAGAGAGGGGCACGCGAGAUAGAAGGAGAGAGAGAGAAAUUGACCUGUUUAGCCCAACCCGACCCACGAGACCGACCCGGAUCCAACUCUCGUUUCCAGCCACCGUUCCGGUCAAGCUUGGUACUGAUCUGAAGCUUGAGUGACGCCGGUCAUAUCCCCGCUGUCAUCGUCACUUGAAAACAGCCAGAACGCCGGUGAUCGAAACUUGAAAGACCGCGGCUCAACCCAUUUUCGUCGCCGUCAAUCUCGCCAGAAUUAGGUUGCACCAUCGGCUGCGUUCGAUUCUUCAAAUCACCAGCUUUUAUUUCCGACCAACCUCGCCGCCCGAAGCUUCCGUUUUGGCCAUGAACGACCGCUAGAAAGCUCACAGCUUUGGGAGCACGAUCCGCCGCCAUUGCCCCGCGUGGAAGGUCACCGCCGGUACCAUUGGACUCAUCGAGAUCAGAACUAUCAGACUUGAGCUUCCCGUCACCGUUGGCUGAAUUCCGGUCACCGUUGACCGGUGGGGGCAUUUCGGUAAUUUCAGAAGACUUUAGGGUGAAUUUGUAAUUUAUGGAAUCGGUGGAUAAUUUAGUAAUUUUAGAUUUAGGCAGUGAGGCAAUUUGAGACUUCAAGGGUAAUUCGAUAAUUUAAAUUAUUAACGGCAUUUUGGUAAUUAAUUUCGCACUUUGAGGGUAAUUUCAUAAAUUCAAAACUUGUGAUUAAUUUUGUUAUCCAAAUUGAGGACAAUUUGGUAAUUUAAGAUGUUAAGGAUGAUUUGAUAAAUUAUGAUUUCGAUGGUAAUUCGGUAAAUUUCGGUGUCAGGGACAUUUUGAUAAUUUUUUGACAUAAGGGUAAUUUUGAAAUUUUAUGUAUCCAAGAGUUUGGUUUUGAGCUUUCUUUCGUACUGUUAGUCGUACUUCGUGAUACAAAUAAUAAUUAUAUCGUUUAUUUAAUUAGGAGGACCCGGGAGCGAGAAUCAAUCCGCAGACGUUUAUGGUACCGAGUCUGGAUAUCGUCAUUGUGAGUGGAAUAUACAAAACUUAUUUUCAUAGUAUAUUCUAAUUUUACCAUACAGUACAACAUAUUUUGAUAAUAAAUAUUUGAUGCUUCGAUUUAAUGAUUUUCUAGAAAAUUAAAUUUUAUUCUACGUGCUGAUAUUUAUUAUUAUUGAAAAUGAGUUUGAUUAAUGAUUUUAUUAUCAUUUUUUGAGAAAAUGCAUGAUAUUAGAAUUGAGUGGAUUUGAGAUAUAUUGAAUAAAAAGGAAAUGAGAGUUCAAAUGUGAUUAUAUGUUUAUGUACAUGUGUAUAAAAGGUUAUUUGGAAAAUUAUUGGACCGAACCCUCCCCCUUCAGAUACAGAGAUAUAUAUAAUAUGAGAUGAAUACAGUGAUAUAGAUGAUAUGAGAUGAGAGGCUUUUGGGGCCCGUCUGAACAUAUAUAGAGGCUUUGGGUCGUGUGUUUGGACCCUUUUGCCUUUUGGGGGCUUAUGCAUGCAGUAUGAUGAUUAUAGAGAUACAUAUGUUGAGAUAUAUGAGAUAUGAGAUGACAUUUUCCUGUCUAUCUGUUGAGCUUCAGGGCAUGAUGGUUCCUUGAUUGCCCGUCCAUCGAGGUCCGGAUAUGAUGAGAUUAUUCCCUUGGGUACUUGUUUGAUGAUAGUUUUUGGUAUUAAGUAUUUGAUAUUAUAAGUUUUAUGAUUUCAUUGAUUUUAUGCAGAUUUAUGUAAUAUUGUUAUUUCAGUGCAUGAUUUGAAUUAAAUAAGUUUAUGUAAGUUCUUAUGAUAUUUUGAUGAAAUUAAUUUGGAAAAGAUUAAAUCAUUUUAAAUAAAUUUAUUUUUCCAAAAAUUAUUAUCCAUUCACUAAGCUUACUGAGUUUUAUACUCACUCCAUUUUUAUUAUAUUCCCCUUCUCCCCACAGGAGAUUUGCAGGUACAUCAGUGACCCAACAACGAUAGUUAGAUUGAAAUUAUGGCCACGUGAUGGUGUUAGGAAUCAUAGAUGUUUUGUUGGGACAUUUUGAAUUGGAUAAUUUAUUACUUAUUUGUGAUUAAGGAUAAACUAUUGUAUUCUUAACAUUAUAUGUUUGAAGGAUACUAGUAUUUAAAUUGAGGAAGUAGGUUGUGGAGGUUGAUUAAAUAUUGUAUUAUUUUUUGGGAGUGUUAACUUAGAAAUUGCAGAUUUGGGGAUGUCAUAAUUAUAUAGGAG
rnacentral:lncRNA from 1 species